rnacentral:rRNA from 1 species
UACAGAGGGUGCAAGCGUUAAUCGGAAUUACUGGGCGUAAAGCGUGCGUAGACGGUUACAUAAGUCGGGUGUGAAGCCCAGGCCGUCAACCUGGGAAUUGCAUUCGAGACUGCGUAGCUAGGGUGGCGGAAGAGGGAAGCGGAAUUUCCGGUGAUAAGCGGUGAAAUGCGUGAGAGUAUCGGAAGGAACACCAGUGGCCGAAAGCGGACUUCCUGGUCCAGCACCGACGUUCAGGCACGAAAGCGUGGGGAGCAAACAGG